UGUUAAACUACAGAGUGCUUGCAACCCUUGGGGGGGGAAUUAACUUAAAUUAGCCAACAGGCACCAGAGUAGGGCAUAAAAUCUUCGUCAUGGUUUUGGUCGCGUUAGCUUCUUAAAUGCGUGAAGUCUCCAUUCACAUGAGGAAAGCGGCACCGACCCGAACCGACCAGCCUCCUGUGUUCCGUCCCGCUAUUCUACACUAGGCAGUGGUGGUGGUGGUCUGGUGGCAUGGACAUUGCGCUCUUCCCCUGCAUCUCCACCCCGAGGGGAAUACUGCUUAUACUACCCACGCUUUCUUUUUGUUAAUAUUUCUCAAUGCCCUACCGGCGGUAUUAUUAGCAGCCUAAUAUUUCUACCAGUCUAACCCUUUGCUAGCCUCUGUCUCCCUGCUUUUUCUUUGUCCUGACUCUGGCUACCAGUCUCCCUCCUCCUCCUCCUCCUCUGCCUGCCUCUGCUGGCGGGGCUGCGGCGCAGACACACAUAAUAAAGCCAAGGCAGGCAGUGCUUGGCUGGAAAUGUAGCCGCGUCCCAGCAGGGGGAUGUGAGAGAAGGGUCCCGGCGGGGGAGCGCUCUGAUCCCGCAGGGAGCAGCUCGGCACAGCCCGGGUUGGCUGAGGCAGAGAGGCAGGAGAGAGGCGGGCUGGGCUGAUGGAGAGAGAGAGGAGGCAGAGGGGAGAGUUAGGCAACAGCGCCUAGCUGUGGCCGACCGGCACAACUACAACCGGGACUCUGAGAAUACAGACGGAGGAGAAAGAGGGAAAACAUGGACUUGGACUGAAGUGAGAUGUGGAAGAGGCUCUGAAGUUAAAAGGUGCAAUAAGUAGUCUAAGUUUGACAAACAAAAUGAGGGUUGUUAAACAGCACAAGUAUCGAAUGAUUAUGUCACCUGGUGCUGAGGUAUCUGGUUUUAAACACAAACACUGCUCAGCUGUAGAGGAAGGUGCUACCAGCCAGCAACCAGUGUCACAACAUGUCACUCUCAAGCCCCAGUAGCAAUGUUUUGUAUCUCUGCAACAUUUCUGUUGCAUUUAAUAGCAUGCUCCUCUGUUGUCUGGCUUUACUAGUUAGGCCAAUAAUAGGCCACUGCAAGCUGUGACUGUGACUUUUUGUACCAAAUUUAAAUUUAUGCAUAAGACAACCAGAAUUCCUCAUGUUUGUUUGUAAGCAGUAAGGAAUUUCCACAGUGAACAGUUACAGUAGAGUUGCUCGUCUUUUUGCUUGCUCUUCACAAUAUUUUCACACCAAAAAUGUGUGCAUCUUUUGGAUGGAAACAUACCUACAGCGGAGUCAUGACCGAGUCUUUGUAAUCCCUCGGUGACAAAUUGAGGUCAAUAAAAGUUACUAAAUUGCCCUCUAAUGCAUGGGGGGGUUUGUUGGGUUGAGCAAGUUGUGACACACACCUUCACCUAAAUGAGUCCAAAUUUGACAGUGUAGACAGCAGCUGUGUUCAGCUUGAAUCACCAUGAAAGCUUCAACCAAAAUGUAUUUGGUGGUCACUAGUGAUUUAUCGUUAACAAAGUAAUGUUUCAUCCGUAAGCAGGCAUUAAUCUUCUUGACGACACAAAUGUAGCAAAGUGAAUUUCAAUGUUUCUGUCAAAAAAACAGGUAGUUUAAUGUGUGUCCUAUAAUUCAGUAUAGUAAGCCCCUCAAUGUUACAGAUAAUCUUUUUUUUUUUUUUUGAUUGCUGGUAGCUAUCCUCUGUACAGCACCUAAACAGAAUGUUGGAUAUGCACAUCCUUUCCUUUUUCAAAGUUUUUGGUAACAUAAUGUUAGACAGACUGAAUGGCACUGUGUGGAAGCAUAUAGGCUAGUUCUUCUUUUUGCUGGGCUUCCAAAGUUCCACAGCAAUCCCAGUGCAGACAUGAAUUGAUUGUUUUGCAGACUAACACAUUUUUAUAGCUAGUAUUUUAGUCCAGGAAUUCAGGAAAAGAUUGCAGGAAACAAAGGCAUGGAUUCAACCGGUAAUGGGCCAUUCCCUCCAUAACAUUUCUUCACAGGAUUUGUGCACAGUUUUGGAAUGUCGAAAUGUUUUUCAUCUUGAAAUGCUCCCCGCUUUUUCAGCUUCUGUCAUUUAAUUCAUUGGUGGUGGACUCGUUUCUUUAGGACAGUGUCUGACAGGAUUAGUUUAAGCCUAUUCAUUUAGGCUGAGCAGAACCUAUCCGUGUGAAAUGAACAUUUUCCGCACUUUAGAUCGAGACCACAUGAAAUGUCUGUUUCUAUCCAGUCAUGGGCAUACAAGAACAUAGACCUUUGUGUUGUAGUGAUGUACUAUCAAAUGUUUAAAAUCUGAGCCAUUUCCUUAAAAGAAAAUACUGUCCUCCAUUGCCCUUUUCUAUGGUGCUUUGGAUAUGCCCCUCCAAGAGGAGUCCUUUUAUUAUUUUUCACAUUGGAGGGCACUUUAUAUCACAGUGAAAAUAAACCAUUUCACUUAC